GGGGUUGUGGCUGAGUGGGGAGGCACUUGGCUUGCUUCCAGAAAGUCCCUAGUUCAAUCCCUGGCAUCUUCA
rnacentral:tRNA from 1 species